rnacentral:tRNA from 1 species
GGAGAGGUGCGAGAGCGGUUGAAUCGGGCUCCCUGCUAAGGAGUUGUAUCUAUUGCGGGUACCGUGGGUUCGAAUCCCACCCUCUCCG